CGAGGAAAGGCGGGCAAGCAGUCGCUUCAUUGAUUGGACGCGCGAUAUUCUACGUCAUUCAAAGUGAUGACACUGCUUUGUAUGCUCAAGGAGCACAAUCUUUUCGUAGCCCUUGAUCCUAGGCCAGGUGCCGGUUCCGCUUCACUGGCUUAAUAUCCAAUCUGUCGCUCUGAUGAACCGGAAGUUGUGUGAGUAGAACCACAGCC
rnacentral:lncRNA from 1 species